rnacentral:rRNA from 1 species
CCAAUAGCGUAUAUUAAAGUUGUUGCAGUUAAAAAGCUCGUAGUUGAAUUUCGGGAUCGAUACGUCGGUCGUGCCUUCGGUACGUACUAUCGUCAUCGAUUUCUCCCUUCUGACGAACCAUGAUGUCAUUAAUUUGGUGUUAUGGGAAAUCAGGACUGUUACUUUGAAAAAAUUAGAGUGUUUAAAGCAGGCAUUAGCUUGAAUACAUUAGCAUGGAAUAAUGAAAUAGGACGUUCGAACCUAUUUUGUUGGUUCUUAGGAUCAACGUAAUGAUUAAUAGGGAUAGUUGGGGGCAUUAGUAUUCAAUUGUCAGAGGUGAAAUUCUUGGAUUUAUUGAAGACUAACUACGGCGAAAGCAUUUGCCAAGGAUGUUUUCAUUAAUCAAGAACGAAAGUUAGGGGAUCGAAGACGAUCAGAUACCGUCGUAGUCUUAACCAUAAACUAUGCCGACUAGGGAUCGGAUGAUGUUAAUUUUUUAAUGACUCAUUCGGCGCCUUACG